AUGGAGGAACUGACCGAAAAUUUAUUCUACACAAAAACAUUUGAACCCACCAUAAAGCCUCAUAAAAUUAUUCCUAAACGACACCUCAAACCACAUUCAACAAAAUGUCAUCCCCAAGGAACAACAUGUAUGGAAUGCAAUAUGAUUUCAUAUGCCUGCCAACUACAAUUUACAAUCACACAAAUACAAGAAGUAGUUCAAAGACUACAACUGUAA